UUUGACGGCCAAAGCGGCGGGGAAACACCCGGUCUCAUCUCGAACCCGGUAGUUAAGCCCACCUGCGUAAUCCUAUUAACCAUGAUGCGAGAGCUCAUGGGAAGAUUACCCUCUCAAGA
rnacentral:rRNA from 1 species